UACGAAGGGGGCUAGCGUUGUUCGGAAUCACUGGGCGUAAAGGGCGCGUAGGCGGCUUUAUAAGUCGGGGGUGAAAGCCUGUGGCUCAACCACAGAAUUGCCUUCGAUACUGUAGAGCUUGAGACCGGAAGAGGUAAGUGGAACUGCGAGUGUAGAGGUGAAAUUCGUAGAUAUUCGGAGGAACACCGGUGGCGAAGGCGGCAUCCUGGACCGAGAUUGACGCUGAGGCGCGAAAGCCAGGGGAGCAAACGGG
rnacentral:rRNA from 1 species